AUACGGAGGGUCCAAGCGUUAUCCGGAAUCAUUGGGUUUAAAGGGUGCGCAGGCGGUUUAUUAAGUCAGUGGUGAAAUCUCGGGGCUCAACUCCGAAACUGCCAUUGAUACUGAUAAACUUGAGUUCAGUUGGAGUAGGCGGAAUGUGUAGUGUAGCGGUGAAAUGCUUAGAUAUUACACAGAACACCGAUAGCGAAGGCAGCUUACUAAACUGAUACUGACGCUGAGGCACGAAAGCGUGGGGAGCGAACAGGAUUAGAAACCCGAGUAGUCC
rnacentral:rRNA from 1 species